rfam:Coprobacillus sp. CAG:826 genomic scaffold, scf37
GGACCCAUAGCUCAAUGGUCAGAGCUCCCGGCUCAUAACCGGUUGGUUCUAGGUUCGAGUCCUAGUGGGUCCA